UACAUAGGGUGCGAGCGUUAAUCGGAAUUACUGGGCGUAAAGCGUGCGCAGGCGGUUCGUUGUGUCGGCGGUGAAAGCCCCGGGCUUAACCUGGGAAUGGCCGUCGAAACUGGCGAACUGGAGUGUGGCAGAGGGGGGUGGAAUUCCGCGUGUAACAGUGAAAUGCGUAGAGAUGCGGAGGAACACCGAUGGCGAAGGCAGCCCCCUGGGCUGACACCUGGACGCUCAGGCACGAAAGCGUGGGGAGCAAACAGG
rnacentral:rRNA from 1 species